rnacentral:rRNA from 1 species
AGUGAACGCUGGCGGUAGGCCUAACACAUGCAAGUCGAACGGCAGCACAGUAAGAGCUUGCUCUUACGGGUGGCGAGUGGCGGACGGGUGAGGAAUACAUCGGAAUCUACUUUUUCGUGGGGGAUAACGUAGGGAAACUUACGCCCAUACCGCAUACGACCUACGGGUGAAAGCAGGGGAUCUUCGGACCUUGCGCGGUUGAAUGAGCCGAUGUCGGAGUAGCUAGUUGGCGGGGUAAAGGCCCACCAAGGCGACGAUCCGUAGCUGGUGUGAGAGGAUGAUAAGCCACCCUGGAGCUGAGACACGGUCCAGACUCCUACGGGAGGCAGCAGUGGGGAAUGGUGGACAGUGGGCGCAAGCCUGAUCCAGCCAUACCGCGUGGGUGAAGAAGGCCUUCGGGUCGUAAAGCCGUUUUGUUGGGAAAGAAAAGCAGCAGGUUAAUACCCCGCUGUUCUGACGGUACCCAAAGAAUAAGCACCGGCUAACUUCGUG